rnacentral:lncRNA from 1 species
AAUCUCCCCCAGAAAGAUAACUCACUUCUUAUAAGUGGUUUAAUUUUUUAAAAGGCUAAGUUUCAUUCCUGUGCAUUUGAUUGCAGAGCAAUUGAGUGGUGGGGGGAUAUUUUGCAAGGGAGAAAAAUUGUGUGAGAAAACAGCAAAUUCCUUACCUGGAGUUUUUACUUUAGCAUUUAAAUUUACACCUUCAGUCAUCAUAAAGAUUAUCAUAGUGGUGAAUUUCAAAAUUUCUUGUUGUGUUUUGAUUUGACUUGCUUUAUAAUUCAUUCCUUAAAUAUCUGAUGUGGUUUGCCUUUGUGUCCCUACCCAAAUCUCAUCUUGAAUUGUAAUCCCAUAAUCUCCACCUGUGGUGGGAGGGACUCAGUGGGAGGUAACUGAAUCAUGGGGG